rnacentral:rRNA from 1 species
UACGGAGGAUGCAAGCGUUAUCCGGAAUGAUUGGGCGUAAAGCGUCCGCAGGUGGUGUUGUAAGUCUGUUGUUAAAGCGUGCGGCUUAACCGCAUAAGGGCGAUGGAAACUACAAGACUAGAGUGCGUUAGGGGUAGAGGGAAUUCCUGGUGUAGCGGUGAAAUGCGUAGAGAUCAGGAAGAACACCAGUGGCGAAAGCGCUCUACUAUGCCGCAACUGACACUGAGGGACGAAAGCUAGGGGAGCGAAUGGG